UCACUGGUCCAGUUGUUAGUCCAAUUACAGAUGGAGAUUAUAGAAGAGGAUGAUGUCUUUUCUCCAACAUCUUUCUAGACUGAUAAAAGAUCUAGACAGGCUUGAACAAAAGUUAACAGAGGGGCUUAUAUAGAGAAUGGUGAGCAGCUACACAUAAAAGAAGAACAUGGAGAAUCUGCCCAGAGGUGUUAACCAGCAAUGCUAUACAACUAAAUUGAUGCAGGCUGAAACAAUAAUGCAGCUGCUGCAGAUGAAGAAUCCGUCCGUCUAGCACUGAAGGAGACGCGGAAAAUCGGGAAAAGAUGUUCUUUGCCCGAGGAAGCAUUUGAUUAAUUUAAAGAUAUUGUGUUUCUUUGUAUGUUAUAGAAAAACGUUGCUUUUUUGCAUACACUCGUGUAAAUAUGCAUCUUAUGAAUGUUUUCCUUUGUCUAAUUUUAAUAAAUUUUACGCAAUCAACUGCCUGUUUUAUUGAAAAUACUGUUUUAAUUGUUGU